ACAGGGAUUGCCCUAGUAACGGCGAGUGAAGCGGCAACAGCUCAAAUUUGAAAUCUGGCCUUCGGGUCCGAGUUGUAAUUUGUAGAGGAUGCUUUUGGUGCGGUGCCUUCCGAGUUCCCUGGAACGGGACGCCAUAGAGGGUGAGAGCCCCGUCUGGUUGGAUACCAAUCCUCUGUAAAGCUCCUUCGACGAGUCGAGUAGUUUGGGAAUGCUGCUCUAAAUGGGAGGUAUAUGUCUUCUAAAGCUAAAUACCGGCCAGAGACCGAUAGCGCACAAGUAGAGUGAUCGAAAGAUGAAAAGCACUUUGAAAAGAGAGUUAAAAAGUACGUGAAAUUGUUGAAAGGGAAGCGCUUGUGACCAGACUUGGGCUUGGUUGAUCAUCCUGGGUUCUCCCUGGUGCACUCUUCCAGUCCAGGCCAGCAUCAGUUUGCUUCGGGGGAUAAAGGCUUCGGGAAUGUGGCUCCUCCGGGAGUGUUAUAGCCCGUUGUGUAAUACCCUGAGGCAGACUGAGGUUCGCGCUCUGCAAGGAUGCUGGCGUAAUGGUCAUCAGCGACCCGUCUUGAAACACGGACCAAGGAGUCGUCUUCGUAUGCGAGUGUUCGGGUGUUAAACCCCUACGCGUAAUGAAAGUGAACGCAGGUGAGAGCUUCGGCGCAUCAUCGACCGAUCCUGAUGUUCUCGGAUGGAUUUGAGUAAGAGCAUACGGGGCCGGACCCGAAAGAAGGUGAACUAUGCCUGUAUAGGGUGAAGCCAGAGGAAACUCUGGUGGAGGCUCGCAGCGGUUCUGACGUGCAAAUCGAUCGUCAAAUAUGGGCAUGGGGGCGAAAGACUAAUCGAACCUUCUAGUA
rnacentral:rRNA from 1 species